rnacentral:rRNA from 1 species
UACGUAGGGGGCAAGCGUUGUCCGGAAUCAUUGGGCGUAAAGCGCACGUAGGCGGCGGCGUAAGCGGGAUGUGAAAGCCCAGGGCUCAACCCUGGAAGUGCAUCCCGAACUGUGUCGCUUGAAUCUCGGAGGGGGACAGAGAAUUCCCGGUGUAGAGGUGAAAUUCGUAGAUAUCGGGAGGAAUACCAGUGGCGAAGGCGCUGUCCUGGACGAAGAUUGACGCUGAGGUGCGAAAGCGUGGGGAGCAAACAGG